GCGGAUGUGGCGGAAUUGGCAGACGCGCUAGAUUCAGGUUCUAGUGCCGCAAGGCGUGAAGGUUCAAGUCCUUUCAUCCGCA
rnacentral:tRNA from 1 species